AGGCGGAGUGGGGGGGUCGGGAGGCAGCAGUAGGGAAUCUUCCGCAAUGGACGAAAGUCUGACGGAGCAACGCCGCGUGAGUGAUGAAGGUUUUCGGAUCGUAAAGCUCUGUUGUUAGGGAAGAACAAGUGCCGUUCAAAUAGGGCGGCACCUUGACGGUACCUAACCAGAAAGCCACGGCGAAAUACGUGCCAGCAGCCGCGGUAAUAUGUAGGUGGCGAGCGUUGUCUGGAAUUAUUGGGCGUAAAGGGCUCGCAGGCGGUUUCUUAAGUUUGAUGUGAAAGCCCCCGGCUCAACCGGGGAGGGUCAUUGGAAACUGGGGAACUUGAGUGCAGAAGAGGAGAGUGGAAUUCCACGUGUAGCGGUGAAAUGCGUAGAGAUGUGGAGGAACACCAGUGGCGAAGGCGACUCUCUGGUCUGUAACUGACGCUGAGGAGCGAAAGCGUGGGGAGCGAACAGGAUUAGAUACCCUGGUAGUCCACGCCGUAAACGAUGAGUGAUUACAAGUGCUUUACCAGGGCCGUUUA
rnacentral:rRNA from 1 species